CCUACGGGAGGCAGCAGUGAGGAAUAUUGGUCAAUGGCCGGAAGGCUGAACCAGCCAUGCCGCGUGAAGGUCAGUGCCCUAUGGGCGUUAAACUUCUUUUGUGCGGGAGCAAUAAUGGUCACGUGUGGCCAGACGAGAGUACCGUACGAAUAAGCAUCGGCUAACUCCGUGCCAGCAGCCGCGGUAAUACGGGGGAUGCAAGCGUUAUCCGGAUUUAUUGGGUUUAAAGGGAGCGUAGAUGGGUUGUUAAGUCAGUUGUGAAAGUUUGCGGCUCAACCGUAAAAUUGCAAUUGAUACUGGCAGUCUUGAGUACAGUUGAGGUAGGCGGAAUUCGUGGUGUAGCGGUGAAAUGCUUAGAUAUCACGAAGAACUCCGAUUGCGAAGGCAGCUUACUAAACUGCCACUGACAUUGAUGCUCGAAAGUGUGGGUAUCAAACAGGAUUAGAUACCCCUGUAGUC
rnacentral:rRNA from 1 species